rnacentral:rRNA from 1 species
AUGUCUACAUCAGAGGGUUCGGAGAGUGCUGAUUCCAUGGAUGAGAAUACGAGUCAAGUACCACAUGCUAGAAGGUCCAAGGUAUGGGAGCAUUAUGAAGUAGAUCUGGUUCUCGUCGAUGGUGAUCUCAAGGCUGUGUGCAAAUACUGUGGAGCACAACUUCACACCAAGUUUGGGACUAGCAGUUUGAGGACCCAUAUUUUAGAGGCUUGCCGAUCAAUUCAGGAGGCUUGCAGGAAGAAGUUUUUGUUGACCAUGAAAAAAAACCAUCCGAAGGUCUGUUUGUGUUUGAUGAAAAAGUUUGUCGUGAACUCAUGGUCAAGUAUUGCGUCCAUGCUGAGAUCCCCAUUCUUAAGUUUGAAGAUCCCCACCUUCAGCCAUGGAUUGACUCAAUGCAGCCGGCGUUUCAAAUCAAGGGUCAUCACACAAUUCGUGAUGAUGUAG